UUGUAGUAAUUAAAUAUUUACGUGACGUCACAUUUCUAUGUACGGAACAUGCUCUACGCCUCUGGUGGCGAAUAUGACCUCGCGUUCUGAGAGUUUGACGUUUACCUUGGCGGAGAAGCACAUUUCGCUCGUCACUUGACUCGAGAGCCGGAAUAGUGAAGUACCAGUACCCAAAAUGGCGGAGAAUAUCUCCAUAAAUUAAUUAAGCAUUUGUGUCUACAGUUCCCAGUUUGUCUUAAAAAUAAUAUUAUAGUAUCCAGCUGUGUCUUGAACCAGGGAAAAUGGCAGUCCACUAGGAGUUUAUUCCCGCCUUUUGGGGAAGUAAUAUAAAACGAACAUGAGAAAUCAUAGACCCUCACCCACCUGAGAGGAACCUAUUCCGGCUACAUAGUCAGUCACCUGGGAGCAAGCGAAGCGUUCCAGCUUCAUCUUCGGUCUCUACACCUGUGCUUACAGGAAGCAUGGUUUGGCACUAUCGUAGUGCUCAUUUUCUGGGAACCUUUUGGUUUUUCAUUUGAGGAAUGGGUUUGUUUGGGAACACUUAGUUUGGUGUGCUUUGAGUAACUAUGGGUUUUUAUAUUUAAGACUCUCGGUUUAAUACACUAUGUGUAAAUUAAUUUAGUUUACCUCUGGUUUUUUUUUCUAUGACAUAUUUUUAUACUAUUGUAUUAGGUUCCCAAACUUAUUUACGAUCUACGGUAAUUUCUUGUGCACAGGAAUAAGCCUAGAAAAUUAGGUUUUUAUACUUUAUUAUUGGUUUAAUAUUUAUUUUGUAAUAUUAAUUGCUUGUUCCCAAAUAUUUCGUUGUUCAUUUGCUUUUCUUAAAUUGUUCGGUUAGGUAAUUCAAGUCGUAUAUUUAUCUAAUUUCAUUUAUUUAGCGUCCAUUCAUUAACUUUGCUUAACUCAUUUUAUUGUAUUUUCUUUAGUCAGGUUUGUGCCUGCUUAUUUCUAGUUUUCAUAUUCGUCGGUUUUUAAUUUAGUUGUACGUAGCAAGCGUACUAUAACCAUUUGGUAGAAAUCUCAUGUGAGUUGUACCCGAUGUAUAAGUAAGAGGUAUAUCUUUUUGUACAUACAUAUAUAACAGGACUGUUGUUAUAUGAUAUAUCAUGUUUAACUAUAACUUUUGUAUAACUUUGUCAUUUUAGAGUCACAUAAUAUGCAUUUUGUAUAACUCAGAGAUUGUUAAAAAUCUAGGUAGUUAUUUUUAAUAAAUAUUUAUUUAUUUUGUA